rnacentral:rRNA from 1 species
GACAGAGGUGCCGAGCGUUAGGCGGAAUCACUGGGCUUAAAGCGUGUGUAGGCGGGUCGUUAAGUGUCUUGUGAAAUCCCACCGCUCAACGGUGGAACCGCUGGGCAUACUGGCGAUCUUGAGCAGUCCAGGGGCGAGCGGAACAAGCGGUGGAGCGGUGAAAUGCGUAGAUAUCGCUUGGAACGCCGACGUGAAAACAGCUCGCUGGGGACUCGCUGACGCUGAGACACGAAAGCCAGGGGAGCGAACGGG